rnacentral:lncRNA from 1 species
GUAUGGUUUUGGCUGCUUGAAGACUUCCAUCCUGAUGAUCUACCAAUAUCUCAAUUGGCACUAUGGAACAUUUGGAGACAGCAGGAUCCCAAAAGAGCAUUACACAUAGGACUAGAUAAUUUAUUGGCUGUAGGACUAUAGAUCCUAUGGAAAGAAUGAAACAAAUGUUAUUUCAACUUUCAUGCUUUUUGUCCGAAUUUUGUGGCCC